rnacentral:rRNA from 1 species
GUGUAACAAAUGUAGUCUUAUUAUAACAUAAUAAAACUUUCAACAACGGAUCUCUUGGCUCUCGCAUCGAUGAAGAACGCAGCGAAAUGCGAUAAGUAAUGUGAAUUGCAGAAUUCAGUGAAUCAUCGAAUCUUUGAACGCACCUUGCGCUCCUUGGUAUUCCGAGGAGCAUGCCUGUUUGAGUGUCAUGAAACCCUCAAACCCAAGUUUUGGAUUUCGAUCCAUGCUUGAGUUUGGAUUUGGAUGUUUGCCGGUGAUGAACCGACUCAUCUUAAAAGUAUUAGCUUGGAUCUGUCUAUAUGACUGGUUUGACUUGGCAUAAUAAGUAUUUUGCUGAGGACAUCUUCGGAUGGCCAGGACCUAGACUACUGUCUGCUAACUAAACCAUCACUUUAAGUGCAUCUUUGGAUGUUACUCAUUGUGUAACUUUGACAUCUGGCCUCAAAUCAAGUAGGACUACCCGCUGAACUUAAGCA